CUCACUUGGGGCCUCGGGCAUCAAGAAGCCUUUUUCUAAAGUUGCUCUCCAAACGAGAGAAUCUGCCCUUCUCUGCGACUCUCAAUCCUCGUAGAUUCAAAGUUUGGGUGUUGGAAAUUUAAGGCUUUCCUAUAAAGUAAUGCUUUAAGAUGGAGGCAAGAGACUUGGUUGUAGAUAUAUACAUGGGCAACUUAAUUUAAGUUUAUGUAUAUUGUCUUAUAGUGUGUUUUUAAUUUCGUUGUAUAUUAUAUGAGUUUCUUCUAUAUAGAGAAAUUGGGGACAA